rnacentral:lncRNA from 1 species
UACGAUUAUGCGAGCAUAUCAUGCUUAUUAAUUAAUAUAAGGUAGGAUGUCAGCUAUGGAGGCUAUCAGAGUUUCUAUUUCAUGUGGUAUCUUAAUUACUCUUUUUAUUAGCUAUUUAUGAUUCUAUGUUUUGCCUUACAUACCAGUACAUUUUAUCCACGUGAACGUCCCAUUGCUUGGAAACGUUGCGUUUUUGUUUCAUGCAUGCAGGUCCAAAUAAGGAUUCUAAUUAACCUCUCCACUAGGAUUUAUGAUUCAGCUAUCAGUUGCUCCACUUCAUAAGGUGUAGAAUGCCCACAGUUAAGCUAGUUGGUAGGUUUCAGUGGCUAACUCGAUUGCAUAAGGUGUAGAAUGCCAAUCACGCCUCCCCUAGUCCGGGGCGUGACAAUAUGUACACAAUUUAUAAAUUGUUUAAAAUACAACAAUUAGAAACCACAUAUAAACCAACAAAUAAUAUAUUCAAUUAAGAUCACAAAUGUCAUGUGGUGAUAUAUUUGCCUUUUCAAUUAGUAAAUAUUAAACAACUC